rnacentral:sRNA from 1 species
GGAUGUGAGGGCGAUCUGGCUGGCUAGGCGGGUGUCCCCUGCCUCCCUCACCACUCCAUGUGCAACCCUCCUGAAGCUGCGUGCUCGGUCGAAGAGGAUGGCCUUCCCCAAAUAAAAAGGCCCAAGAAACACACUUUCAAAAGGCUCUGGGAACUUUUUCCUCUCCUUGUGGAUAUCAGAGGGGUGCAGAAUCUGUAUUUUAGAGGAGCGAUCUUCAUGAAUUCGACACAACUCGAGAGACACUCACCUUGUUGACUCUUG